GAAGAGCAAAGGCUUGUCUCGGAUGAACUUUUUGUCUGCAUCUCCAUCUGAUUACACACCCAUGUUUGUGUCCACGUGCCUUCCAGCUGCCACCUCACCACACGGGCCCCUUCAACCCCGGGCCCUGGGCAUUUCUAGCGAAUUUGUUUCCAGAACAGCUCAGACCGUCUGUAACCUUUCUCUUGGUCUAUCAGUGUCCCACCACUCUGACUCUGAGUUUUCAUGGAUCCAAGAGAGCAAUAAAUGAUGAAGGAAUGCAACCGUUUUGCUAAAAGGGGUGUAGAGAGCAAGAAGCUUGAAUUUCUGGUCUCUCUUGCAAUGGGGAGUGACAAGAUAGACAAUGUUCUGGCCAAAGAGACAAAGGAAAUGAACAAAGGUCUACUGAGAAGACUGAUGUCGCCAUGUGCAGCCAGCAGACUCCCCGAGCCUCGGGCCUCCACCUCUUCUGGGAAGGUUCUCCUCGCUCUUACCAGACCCAGCCGUAUCACCUGCCGCCCUUCCCGGUGGCUGCCGUCCGCUGGCCGUGUGGUCACCGAAGAGCUCCGCUCCUGCUGUUUCCUCCCUGCUCCACCUGCUCUCUUCCCGACGGCCCUACAGAUGGCCAUACUCCUCCGUGGCUUCUCUCUACCUCCACUUGCUCACCUCCAGCGAUCUCCGCCAACACGCUGCGAUCAGGGACCCUGCCCCCUUGUGGGAGGAAGGCUUCGAGCAACCUCACCGUCCCGGCACCUGCCCAGGCAGCUCCUCCGGGCCGUCCAGGGCUCGCGUCACAGUCUCCCUGAAACACUGCCGUCCUCAUUCUUGCUCCUGUGUGAUCACCGCCCUCGCCCUCGGCUGUCUUCUGCUCUUGCACCUGCACCUGCCCCCCCUCCCCAACCCAGCUUCCCCCAGGGGGCUGGGGGAGGGGGAGGAAGCACUCGAUCAGUGAGACUCCUUCCAUUGUAA
rnacentral:lncRNA from 1 species